rnacentral:misc_RNA from 1 species
CACGUACUGUGCGAACGUUAUUCGGAAUCACUGGGCUUAAAGGGUGCGUAGGCGGCCAGUUAAGUAGGGUGUGAAAUGCCUCGACUCAACCGAGGAAUUGCGCUCUAAACUGAUUGGCUUGAGUAGGAUAGGGGUGUGCGGAACUUCCAGUGGAGCGGUGAAAUGUGUUGAUAUUGGAAGGAACGCCGGUGGCGAAAGCGGCACACUGGGUCUUAACUGACGCAGAGGCACGAAAGCCAGGGUAGCGAACGGG